CGCAUCUGUGCAUGCAGCAUAUCAAUAAGCGGAGAAAAGAAACUAACAAGGAUUCCCUUAGUAACGGCGAGUGAAGCGGGAAGAGCUCAAAUUUGAAAUCUUCAAGGUUUUACCUUGACGAAUUGUAGUUUAAAGAAGUGUUUUCUGUUGAAGUUUUGGUAAAAGUUCUUUGGAAUAGGACAUCAUAGAGGGUGAGAAUCCCGUAUUUGACCAUUAUUUUCAGCUGUGUGAUACACUUUCAAAGAGUCGGAUUGUUUGGGAAUGCAGUCCAAAAUGGGUGGUAAAUUUCAUCUAAAGCUAAAUAUUGGCGAGAGACCGAUAGCGAACAAGUACCGUGAGGGAAAGAUGAAAAGAACUUUGAAAAGAGAGUUAAACAGUACGUGAAAUUGUCAAAAGGGAAGCGUUUGACACCAGUGUUGUUUUCUCGAAAAUCAAUUAAAAAGAGUUUGAUUUUGUUGUGUAUUGACCUUAACAGCUUGCAUUUCAAUUUUCUUGCUUUUUUUAAUGCACUUUUCGUUUAACAAGUCAACAUCAGUUUCUUUUGUUGUAAAAAGGUCAUUGGAAGGUGGCUUUCUUUUCGGAGAAAGUGUUUAUAGCCUUUGACUCCUGCAAUCGGAGAGACUGAGGUCUGCAGCGUAGAUCCUUCGGGGUUAGAUACAUUUGUGCUAAGUUAUAGCUUUUUAUAGACAACUUGUUGACUAUGAUUAGUCUUGUAGCUUACUCGCUUAUGCUAUUUUACCUACGCUUAGGAUGUUGACACACGCGCGUGCUCG
rnacentral:rRNA from 1 species